rnacentral:rRNA from 1 species
GACGAACGCUGGCGGCGUGCUUAACACAUGCAAGUCGAACGGUGAUGACAGGGCUUGCCUUGUCUGAUCAGUGGCGAACGGGUGAGUAACACGUGAGUAACCUGCCCCAGACUCUGGGAUAACCCCGGGAAACCGGAGCUAAUACCGGAUAUGACCCUCGGACGCAUGUUCAGGGGGUGGAAAGUUUUUCGGUCUGGGAUGGGCUCGCGGCCUAUCAGCUUGUUGGUGAGGUAGUGGCUCACCAAGGCGACGACGGGUAGCCGGCCUGAGAGGGCGACCGGCCACACUGGGACUGAGACACGGCCCAGACUCCUACGGGAGGCAGCAGUGGGGAAUAUUGCACAAUGGGCGAAAGCCUGAUGCAGCGACGCCGCGUGAGGGAUGACGGCCUUCGGGUUGUAAACCUCUUUCAGCAGGGAAGAAGCGCAAGUGACGGUACCUGCAGAAGAAGCACCGGCUAACUACGUG